UGGGGAAUUUUGGACAAUGGGCGAAAGCCUGAUCCAGCAAUGCCGCGUGUGUGAAGAAGGCCUUCGGGUUGUAAAGCACUUUUGUCCGGAAAGAAAUCCUUGGCUCUAAUACAGUCGGGGGAUGACGGUACCGGAAGAAUAAGCACCGGCUAACUACGUGCCAGCAGCCGCGGUAAUACGUAGGGUGCAAGCGUUAAUCGGAAUUACUGGGCGUAAAGCGUGCGCAGGCGGUUUGCUAAGACCGAUGUGAAAUCCCCGGGCUCAACCUGGGAACUGCAUUGGUGACUGGCAGGCUAGAGUAUGGCAGAGGGGGGUAGAAUUCCACGUGUAGCAGUGAAAUGCGUAGAGAUGUGGAGGAAUACCGAUGGCGAGGGCAGCCCCCUGGGCCAAUACUGACGCUCAUGCACGAAAGCGUGGGGAGCAAAACAGGAUUAGAUACCCCUGGUAGUCCACGCCCUAAAACGAUGUCAACUAGUUGUUGGGGGAUUCAUUUCCUUAGUAACGUAGCUAACGCGUGAAGUUGACCGCCUGGGGAGUACGGUCGCAAGAUUAAAACUCAAAUGAAUUGACGGGGUCAUAGCUG
rnacentral:rRNA from 1 species